CUGGCGGCGCGCCUAACACAUGCAAGUCGCACGAGAAAGUGGAGCAAUCCAUGAGUAAAGUGGCGUACGGGUGAGUAACACGUGGAUUAUCUACCUCCUAGUGGGGAAUAACCCUGGGAAACCGGGGCUAAUACCGCAUAAGCUCGAGAGAGGAAAGCAGCAAUGCGCUGGGAGAGGAGUCCGCGGCCGAUUAGCUAGUUGGUAGGGUAAAAGCCUACCAAGGCAAAGAUCGGUAGCCGGCCUGAGAGGGCACACGGCCACACUGGCACUGAAACACGGGCCAGACUCCUACGGGAGGCAGCAGUGGGGAAUCUUGCACAAUGGGGGAAACCCUGAUGCAGCGACGCCGCGUGAGCGAUGAAGCCCUUCGGGGUGUAAAGCUCUUUCGGCAGGGAAGAUUAUGACGGUACCUGCAGAAGCAGCUGCGGCUAACUACGUGCCAGCAGCCGCGGUAAUACGUAGGCAGCAAGCGUUGUUCGGAGUUACUGGGCGUAAAGGGUGUGUAGGCGGUUGUUUAAGUUUGGUGUGAAAUCUCCCGGCUCAACUGGGAGGGUGCGCCGAAUACUGAAUGACUANAGUGCGGGAGAGGAAAGUGGAA
rnacentral:rRNA from 1 species